rnacentral:lncRNA from 1 species
UAAUAUUGCACUAGAAAAUGCUAGCUUUAGCAAUAAGAGGUGUAGCAGUCCGCCCCCUAGCUAUGGGCAAGGGGAACACAGUAUGUGCAGAUUGCUCAGUCUUGGGCAUGCUCAGUAGUGCUCAUGGCUGGGAAGGCCUCUGACCCUUGACCCCAGCUUCUCCCAGGUUAGGCGGGAAAACAGGUUUCUUUGUUCUCACCUGGUUAAGAGAAACCACACCUAUGCCUUGUCAUUAACCAAUGAGAAUCAUCCCUAUGUACUGUGUAUAUUUGCAUAUCAAAAACUAUAUCUAGCCCAGCAGGCUCCGCCUUCUCUCUCUCUGCUCUCUGCUCUCUGCUCGCUCCUUCUCUUUCAGGCUACCUGAUGGCUGUCCUUGCAGGAGCUUGGCCUCUGGCCAAGCUCCAUCUUUAAUCUUUCUCUAUUCACCUCUCUGACCUGCGUGGUAUGGAUCUCAGGACUGGAAAAGCCUACAGAAUUGGUCCUUUGAUCAGAGCUUAGCUGUGGCUCAUUGAUAAUUAAUAAAGACUCAUCCUGAACACCUCAUAUCUCUACUAGGACUCCGUCACUUCCCUCGUGGUAUCAAAACUUCUAUCCUGUCUCUAUCUUCCUACCUUGUGGCUUCUCUCACCUCAGAGAGAGCCACAGAUGGCGCCCAACUUUCUCGUGGCAUUCCACUCUUUUAUUUCACACAGCGAAUGGGAGAACGCGUUCGAGGACACGAGGCUAAUAGUAGGCGGGUGCCGGAGUUCCAGGAAGGUUGCCGUACCUCUGGCCAAGGACGAUACAUGGAGUCCAUGGAAGAUGAUUAAGAGCAUCUGAUGGCAAGAAAAUCUGCCCGGAAGAAGGACAGAAGGCAGAGGUGUCUGGCACAGGACACCAGAAAAGCAGCACAUGGACUGUAAAGACUGCCCUAUAGGCAGGUUUAACACACUAUACACACACACACAUGCAAUUGUAUGAGAAACAAUGUACAUGCAGAAGAGUAUCAUUAAGUCACUAACAGAUAUUCUGUUCUAGGAAUAUAUGGGUAUUUGGUAAAAGAUCUAACUAUUACAUGCCUGAAAAUUUUGAAUGGUAUUGGUACAAUGUGUAACUUGAAAUGAUAUUAUUGGAAUUGUUCCAUGUUAGCCAAAUGUGAUCAAAUAUCAAAAGGGUAUAAUUGGGAAUAUUAUGACAGUAUAAGGAAUGCUGUCCACUUGCAGCACAAAAAGGGUAUUACUAUCCAAAAUGUAAUGAUGAUUAUGGUCUUAAAGGGUACAUUAUAUUUGCAAACAAUAUGUUUUUGCUAGAAUCAGACUUAUCUAGAAGUCAAUAUUGUUAAGCUGUGACUGUUCCACUUUCAUAAAGAAAGAGGUGGAUAUGAUAUCACUAAUCAUCUAUCUCUUCUACACCCCAGAAAGAAUAUAAGUUAAAGCUUUGUAACAAUCAAUAUUGAAUUUAAUGAUAAAGAUCACAUUGUGUGAGAUACCUGAAUUGGGUUAAAUAUCAUCAAGAUAUUAAG